UUUAAUUCGAUGAUACGCGAGGAACCUUACUGGGUUUAAAUGGGAAGUGACAGACUUGGAAACAGGUUUUUCUUCGGACACUUUUUCAAGGUGCUGCAUGGUUGUCGUCAGCUCGUGCCGUGAGGUGUCGGGUUAAGUCCCAUAACGAGCGCAACCCUCGUCGUAUGUUAUAUGUGUCAUACGAGACUGCCGGUAAAAGCCGGAGGAAGGUGAGGAUGAUGUCAAGUCAGCAUGACCUUUAUAUCCAGGGCUACACACACGCUACAAUGGUCUGUACAAUGGGUAGCCAAGCCGCGAGGCGGAGCCAAUCCUGAAAGCAGGCCUCAGUUCAGAUUGCAGUCUGCAACUCGACUGCAUGAAGCCGGAGUUGCUAGUAACCGCAGGUCAGCAAUACUGCGGUGAAUACGUUCCCGGGUCUU
rnacentral:rRNA from 1 species